GCAUGUGAGUGGUGAUGGAUUUGUAUGUCGCGGUGGGCUCCCUGCUAUUGUGCAGUAGACCACCGACGCCGCAAGUCUCUUCAAUGGCACUCUGUUUGAAUGGAGAUGCGUGUGUUGCCUGUACAAUCUACCUAGUUCCUUUGGAAAUAGACAUUGUUUACCUCGCUUAUCCACUUCUCAUAUCCUAUGUGAAUGAGGAGUGUCGAUGUCCGUGCACCUUGUGUGUCCUCGAACGAUUGCAUGUCUCAGACCUCUCGUUUCGAGUGGCUCCAGUGUUCACGUGAGUGCUCUUGGAUGCAGUGGAUAAGAAUGUACCAUGGGUCUUCGGACUCUUGGCACAUGAUCGGUUGGCUUUCUUAGUCGCCCUUUGACGGAUGACGGCCUUCCCAUCGGUGCCCCCUUUCCCUUGUGGUAAUGGGUCGGCAUGUUGGGCUUGGCGUCGUAGAGGACGUGCUACC
rnacentral:misc_RNA from 1 species